rnacentral:lncRNA from 1 species
AAUUUUACCUGUGAAUUUGACCAGGCCAUGGAGUGCCCAAAUAUUUGGGCAAACAUUAUUUCUGGGUGUGUCUGUGACAGUGUUUCCAGAUGAGAUUAGCAUUUGAAUUGAUGGAUUCAGUAAAGCAGCUUACCCUCCCAAAUAUGGAUGGGUAUCCCAAUCUGUUGAGGGCCUGAAUAGAACAAAAGGUAGAAGAAGAGAGAAUCUGAUCUCUCCGCCUGGCUGCAAGAGCUGGAACAUCGUCUUCCCUUGCAUUCAGACUUCAACUGGGACUUACCCUGGUUCUCAUGUCCUUGGGCUCCAGCUAAGACCAUCUCAUUGGCUUUCCUACACCUCCAGCUUGCAGACAGCAGAUCAUGGGACUUCUCAGCCAAUUCUCUCUCUCUCUCUUAUUCUGUUUCUCUAGAGAACCCUGACUAAUACAGAUUUUCGUACUUGAGAAUGGUCUAAAAGAUAGGACCACUGCCUCAGUGGGUCUGGAAGGCAGAGCAUCAAGCCAAAGAGGAUUAUUCUCAGGACUUUAAGAUCUCAUGGAGUUUCCCCUGCUAAGUUUUGGACUUACUUGGGACCCAUCAUUUCUUCUUCCUCUCCUAUUUCUCUCGGAAUGAGAAUGUCUAUCCUAUGCCUGUCUCACCAUUGUAUUUUGGAAACAUGUAACUUGUUUGGUUUCACACGUUCACAGCUGGAGAGGAAUUUUGCCACAGGAUGAGUUGUACCUCAAGUCUCAUCCAUAACUGAUUUAGAUGAUAUUUAGAUGAGACCUUGGUUUAGACUUUAGAGUUGAUGCUGGAAUGAGCUAAGAUUUUGGGGGCUGUUGGGAUGGAAUGAAUGUAUUUUUCGUGUAAGAAGGGCAUGAAUUUGGGGGAGCCAAAGGCAGAGUGCUAUGGACUGAAUGUUUGCAUCCUCCCUGAAUUCACAUUUUGAAACCCUAACUCCAAUGCCUUGGUAUUUGGCGGCGGGGCCUUUGGGAGGUAAUGAGGUUAUGAGGAUAGAGCCCUCAUGAAUGGGAUUAGUGAUCUAGUCACAGGAGACCGAGAGAGAUGGUCGCUCUCUGUGCCAUGUGAGAACACAGCUGAAAGACGGCCAUUCUGCAGACUAGGGAGAGGGCCUUCACCAGACACUGAAUUGGACCCUGAUCUUGGACUUUCUAGCCUCCAGAACUGUGAGAAACAAAUUUUUAUUGUUUAAACCACUCAGCCUAUGGUAUUCUGUUAUAGUAGCUCAAGCUGACUAGGGCAGUAAUGAAGCACCAUGCUGGCCCUGAACUGCUGAACUCUGGAUUUCACGUACAUACGACAAAGAAUAAACUUCUAUCUGACUCAAAUCCUGGUCAUUUUGAGUUUUCUGUCAUUUGCAGCCAAACUUUAGUAAUACUGGUAGUGACAGAUCGGCCUCUCCCACAGGGGCAUCUCCAGAUCUACUGGCAGAAAGAAGGCCAAAUAUGUCCUCUGCAGACAGAUCACUAGUAGAACCACUCAAAAGGGGCUGAGCCACCAGUAUCCUGUUCCUUCUUCCAAACAUCAGUUGGGUUAGUCAUCUAUCACAGGAGAGAAAUGACUGGAGGCGCCAAGAGAGACCAGGAAUGUGAACUAAGGAGGCCCCUCCACAUGGAAAUAUGAGACUUGGAGAAGAGAGGUUCUCCUGAACCUGGGAAAUGAAUGCAUCAAAGAUUUCAAAUUCUGCAGGUUCCAGAAGAAGGAGGAGAUGGGAAAGGAGUUUAUGCCAGAUAAAGUAAGACAGCAUCUUAAAUGAGCAAACUAAAGAGUAAAUGAGUUUGGAGGUGACAGCAGUUUCUCUGGCUGAAUGGGAAUGUAAAAUUGCAAGUGUUACAGCUGAAAAGCACCUUCGAGAGCAUUCUGGUCCAAUGAAACUUCAGUCAAGAGAAGCUUUCAAAAGUUGGUAACAGGGUUCCUGUAGGUGCCAUUAAACUGAACAGGACAAGAGCUCCAAUCCCUCAAAGGUGCAACUUUCCACUGGGACUUUGAUAAAUUGGGAGGAGAAGAGAAUCAAUGCAGGCUCCAGCAACACCAGGAUGCUUUCAGCCUGCAGCAAUUGACAAUUCCAUAUUUUAUUGAAUUGAAGCAAAAUUUCUUUCUCAUGCAUGUUACAUGUCAAUUGCAAGCCAGCAAAAGGACUCUGAUCAUCACAGCAGUUCAGCCCUACAGAUUGAGAGAGGCUCCAUCUCAAACCAUGCUCCACAGUGUCUGAGUCUCCUCCACAGCUUCUGACGAGAGACAGUCACAGCUUUUGGAACUUCAGAAGUGGGGCCACCUACAGUACCUCCAGACAGUGAAGGAGAACUGGGGACAAAGACAAGGCGCUCUGGGAGCUCAGAAGAAUUGACUAGCUCUACUGAUGAAGAGGAAAAGGAAUAGCGGUGGUUUAAGAUACACACCAGAAAGAGAAUUCCCAAACAGCAGAGGCAUCCGCAGGGGCCAAUGACUGCACGUGACUAGAGGAGGAUUGUUCUCUGAGGCAAGUCUUGCCUCAAUCCAACCUCCUGCCAGAGGUGGACUCAGAUGUGCCCUAUUUGGAGAAGUCUCAAAACCUAGCUCGGAUGACCUUGAGAUUUGAACAAUGUGUUCCUUUCCUGGGGCAGCACAUGUUAGCACAUCAGAAUUCUUAGGAGGAAAUGAAAACUCCUGUAGCAGAGAAUAAAGACACUAAGUAACUGUGUUGCUGGCCCAUUAUGUGUCUCUAAUUGUGUCACCUCGCUCCUCGGUAGGGUUUUAUGUUCAUUAUUUCCAGGUCCUUUUCCCACUGCUGUGCAUUAAUGGUCUCCCGAUUCUUUCUCUCCACUCCAGCUGCC